rnacentral:sRNA from 1 species
UAUAUUCUCCGCUGGGGGGGGAUGAGAACCCCCGACCGGGGUUCGACAACUGGCAACGCCAGUUGGACAGACCGCGAGCCUGCGAGCGGGCUGCCCCGCAGGGGCGAGCGAAGCGAGUCAAUCCCCCCCUCACCGCCA